UGCAAAGAUGCCAAAGUCUGAGAAUGGCUAAAACCUGGGGAUUUUCCACAGAGUCAUCAAGUGGCUUAAAUAAUUAGAAUGAAGGUUCCCUUGUGAGAUCACUACCAGCAAAACAGGAGCAGUUUCUGGGCCAAGGUUAGCCAUGCUCAUAAAGAGAAAUGUCUCACACUAACAGCAAAGAAUUCAAGGAAGGAAGAAAUCCUGGAGCCUGCAGCCAGCGCAAGGGGCAGACAGAAUACUGAGUCCUCCAUGGCUGGGCCGAAAGAGAAGGCUCCAGAAAACACAAGUGCUGUGGUGAAGAACAGAGACGGCUAGAGAGCUCUCUGGGACCUUGUAUGAGGACAUUAUGAUGGCUAAUCUUGAAUAUCGACUUGAUGGGACUUGGAGUCACCAUGGAAACAACACUUCUAGACACUCAGAGGGACCUGAAGGUCUUCAGUCUCCUACUCCUGCCAUCACUUUGGAUUCCAAGGGUAGCAAAACUAACAGGACGGACCAUCUGUAGAUAAGAACUAUGAGCCAUGAUCGGGAGGCUGCAGCCCCGAGAGACAGUCAUUUCCUGAGAACUAGAUUGCCCCUUCAAGCAAUAAAGAUGUAGACAGGCCACCUUAUGGAGCCAGAGCUGAGACAGCGUUCAGCAGACCACAUCUUAGCCAGAACUGGUAAGUGCUCCAUGCUUCUUGUCCCCUGUCCCAAUUCUUCUACUAUUUAAAGAUAAAACUCAUGCCGGUACCCCCAAAAACAGACUUUGUGCUUCACUGGACACUUUCAUCCGUUCUCCCCAAAGAGCCCAGCUGAACCUUUCCCCUGUCGCUCUCUGUGGCAUGUUAGGUCUUGGGGAUGGGGGUUGCAGACAAGCCUGUGAGGGCUGCGAGAGCCUGGCUUUUACCCAAAAACUCUGCUCAUAUUACCAGUGGCUAAAGGCACAUUCUUAGUUUUCAACCCAGAGCUGGAGUUAGAUUAGUCAGGCCAGUAGCACCCAGAUUCCCUUGUAGAUAGUAGAGGGACAGAUGUCUAAAUACAGACAGAGCACAAGGAUUAGUUCGUGUCAAUGCUCAGAGCUGCUGUAGAGUGGAGGUGUCACAGUCUGCACCCCAUCAAGCCAGGUUCAGCUACCUCUUCUCAAGAAAGACAGCCAUAAAAGCCGAAUGAAUAAUCAAGAGCAAACAAAGGAGGUGUGUUUGAUAUGGUGACACUGGGAAGAGAUCCGGGACCCCCUAAACCCAUCUUCAGCAUUUGAUGUGAGCGGAAGGUUUAAAGAGACCCGAGUAACUGAGGAAUGUGCCUAAAGGAGCAGUCUGGUGGGGUGUGGUAUCGAUGACGGAGCCAAUGUCGUUUCAGCUCCAAGUUCUUCUAGCAAAGUCAGUCACUCCUGUCAGGUCAACUGACAAGCUGUCAAUCUUCUCCAGCGGUCAAGCGCCUCCCUGGCUCUCCUCAGGACUUCAAUCUUCUCUUCCUACAGCAGGAAAUUCCAACUUCCUGCUGUCCACUGUUUCACUCUUCUGGUAGCCAAAGAGGGGGUCACAGGUGUCUCUUCAAGGUGUAUUCAUUCCUUCCAGUCAGGCCAUUUGGAAGGGACACCAGGAGGUGUGGAAGUCCUCUUCAGGAGGUUAGACAUGUGGGCGCCUCUGAAGGGGUCCCGGAGUCUUGUGUCCUUGAACAAGAAGUCGAGCAGAGACACAUGGCUGUGGCAGAAGCAGGGGCAGCUUGUUAGAAAAGGAUACAUUUCUACAGGAGGAACGAGGCUAGAACAAAGUCCCUGCUGCACAGAGUGGGGGCUUUUAUGUUACUCAGUGUAGUGUUUGGGGUUCAUUUACAUAGUUUAGCAUUCUCCUUGGCAUUAUCCGUUACUGUACUUCUACACCUACCCCCAAGCAUCACUUAUCUCGGCAUCUCAACUCUCCAUCCAGGGCUGUGUGCCUUAGUGGCAUGAGUCAAUUUUACACUCUAGCAUGCCUUUGUGGCUGUCUCAGAGGCCAGGCUUAGUCGGCCUCAGCCAGGGGAGUUUUCCAGCUUUCCCUUUGUCAACCCUCUUUUUUUCACAUGCUGAUUUUGCAGCCUCUCCUAAGGGCUUUAUGGACCUCAGACUCCACCUUCCUCUCCCCGGCACGGGG